UGAGUCUGAGAAUCGCUACCUUCCCACUGA
rnacentral:piRNA from 1 species